UACGUAGGGGGCAAGCGUUGUCCGGAUUUAUUGGGCGUAAAGAGCGUGUAGGCGGCCAGGUAGGUCAGCUGUGAAAAACUCGAGGCUCAACCUCGAGACGCCGGUUGAAACCAUCUGGCUAGAGUCCGGAAGAGGAGAGUGGAAUUCCUGGUGUAGCGGUGAAAUGCGCAGAUAUCAGGAAGAACACCCGUGGCUAAGGCGGCUCUCUAGUACGGUACUGACGCUGAGACGCGAAAAGCGUGGGGAGCGAACAGG
rnacentral:rRNA from 1 species